CGUGCUGCUAAGUUUGGGGGGAGGGUGUUGCGGGGGCUUGCUUCGUCCUCUCCAGUUAUCAGCCCCUCAUUCGCUCCAUCACCUAAAGUGUUAAAAAAAAAAAAAAAGGCUCUUGGGUCCCACCGUAAGAGCGCAUAAAGAGAGGAGGUACAAUGACCGUCCUUUGCCAUUGUAGGGCUCCCUAAUUUAUGCGUUUUUAGACCCUUAAGCAUCAUUUUGUGGGCAACCAAACGGGCACUUCCAAAUUAGCUCAAAGUAUCCAAGCCCAGAGAAGAGAGAAAACACACAUACACUGAUAAAUACGCAGAUGCUAACUUGUCUUUUAUGAACUUGAAACACAUCGGCUAGGUCUUCAUCCUCACCUGCACUGGAAUUACCUACUUAAGAAAAACAAACUAAUGAUACACAAAGAAGCACUUAUGUAUGUAUUUAAACACUUGCUGGGAUCCUUCUGAAAACUACAGUUUGAAUUUUACGUUUCCGGUUUAGUUUAAAUUGUAUUGUUUACUUGUAUGUAUUAGCUUAAAUAAAAUAAUAGUCAUUUCAAAUGUUUCUCAGAGACAACAGGGUAAGUAAAAAAUAGUUGUGUUAUGACAUCUGUGAAUAUAAAAGUUAUUUGUGGCCCAUUAUAUUUUAUUUUUCAAGUUCAAACGUAUUUCAAAUAUGAAACGCAUUAUCAUAAUCUCCAUAUUGAUUAGUUGUCCAAGUUGAAAAGUGUUUACAAUUUUAAUUUUUUCCAGAUGAUUAUUACUCUGUUUUCAGGCUAUAAAUUUCAUCUCAUGUAAUUUUCUUUGUAGAACUUUGACAUAGCAGUUAACAUCAAGUGGUUGUACUACAAUUUUUGCUUAUUUUGUUUUUCAACUGCAUUGGGUCCUGUUAUAAGUGCAUAUACAUCUGGAAUGCUUCCAUCUUUAAAUUAAAAGCACUUUAUCACAUCUGAAGGUUCUCUGCAGAGAGUCACUUUCUGACUGCUUAGGAACUUGAUAAGCCAAAUAGUAUUCCAUCACUGUAGGUAAACAGUUCUGGGAAAGAAAAAUCUACAGUCUUUGACAAUUCUUCCUGUCAAUUGUUUGUACCUCAUUCUAGAAAUUACAUAUCUUCAUGCCGGAAACACUAUUUGGAUGCGUGUGGAUGAUUCUGAAAAUUGAUAUAGUCUGAAGGAUGUAUAUGUACAUUUAUAUAUAGACACAAUAUAACCCAAUUGAUAUUCCAUUGAAGCUUUGUAUUCAUUUCAUCAGAUUAUCGUGUACCUAAAUUAUGUGUGGAAAUUUAUACUUAGUAGAUUCUCAAAUAUUAUUGGCUAAACUGCAUUUCACAGGAAAUGUAUUUCUCAGGAGUGUUUUCUCAUUGUUUUCCUUAAAAAACAAUGCUGGCACCCAGCAAAAUAAUAAAAUUAAAAAAUAAAAUAAAAUGCAAAUACUGCCUAAGGGAAUACAGUGAAAAGAAUUGGUUCUCACUCUCCUAUCCUUCAAGGCUCCUAGUUCUUCGCCUCAGAGGAAUUUGGUGUUACCUGUUUCUUUUGGAAUGGCCUGUCCAUCUAGAAGCAUACUACCAUUUUACACACAAAAGAUAGCAUGCUCUAUGUGAUUUGGUACCUUGCCUUUUUCAUAGUUUAGGUUUUUAUAGUUUCACACAUUGCAACAUUGAAAACAGACGAAGAUAGGCUGUGGCAGAUACAGAAAUUUUUUCUAGACAAAAAGACAAGAUUUCUCUAGACAAAACACUCCUGGCUUUCUGGCAAAAAUGUGGUAUUUGUUGAAAAUCUCUGAUGUGUUAGAUAGCCUUAGUGCCAAAAAUAUUUAGCAAAAAAAUUCUAAGGAAAGAGCCUUCUGCAGUUUGGAUUUGCUCUUGGCAGACAGAAGCUCAGCGAAAGGGACCUGAGAGGAGUUGAGAAACUUCUGACAUACCCACUUUGAAGUGGGGGUCCAGCCAGUACUUAGAGGGAAAUAUUGUUUAUCUAGGUGGUGAAUAGGUUUUCAGUGGGUCUUGUAUUUCCUCAUCAAGACUGUUUGAAAAUAUAACUUUCUGCUUGAUACCCAAAAACGUAAGUGCCUUUUAGAACUGAGACACUUGCUACAUUUGCAAUUAGUUUAAACUAGUUGUGCAACAAUUUGAUUAAUAAGUUUUAUGUUGUGGAAGUAGCCUUAAAAUAUUGUCUUUGCAGUUGGGAAGGAAUAAAGAAACAUCUUAAGGAUACUAGUAUUUUGCAGCAAAAUUUGAGGUUAUAAAGAGGAAAAUAAAACUGCCAUAGAGAUGAAACACAAAGUUUAUUUGAAUUAUUUUACUUUUUUUUGCUAAAUUCAUCAGUUUCUGAGAUCUGGUUCUCAUU
rnacentral:lncRNA from 1 species